rnacentral:rRNA from 1 species
AACGAACGCUGGCGGCAUGCCUAAAACAUGCAAGUCGAACGGGUGUAGCAAUACACCAGUGGCAGACGGGUGCGUAACACGUGGGAACCUGCCCAGAGGUUCGGAAUAGCUGCGGGAAACUGCAGGUAAUACCGAAUGUCGCCUGAGGGCUAAAGGAGCAAUCCGCCUUUGGAGGGGCCCGCGUCCGAUUAGCUAGUUGGCGAGGUAACGGCUCACCAAGGCUACGAUCGGUAGCUGGUCUGAGAGGAUGACCAGCCACACUGGAACUGA